CCUACGGGCGGCUGCAGUGGGGAAUAUUGGACAAUGGGCGAAAACCUGAUCCAGCCAUGCCGCGUGUGUGAAGAAGGCCUUCGGGUUGUAAAGCACUUUCAGUGGGGAAGAAAGCCUUGGGGCUAAUACCCUCGAGGAAGGACAUCACCCACAGAAGAAGCACCGGCUAACUCCGUGCCAGCAGCCGCGGUAAUACGGAGGGUGCGAGCGUUAAUCGGAAUUACUGGGCGUAAAGCGCGCGUAGGCGGUCUGAUAAGCCGGUUGUGAAAGCCCCGGGCUCAACCUGGGAACGGCAUCCGGAACUGUCAGGCUAGAGUGCAGGAGAGGAAGGUAGAAUUCCCGGUGUAGCGGUGAAAUGCGUAGAGAUCGGGAGGAAUACCAGUGGCGAAGGCGGCCUUCUGGACUGACACUGACGCUGAGGUGCGAAAGCGUGGGUAGCAAACAGGAUUAGAUACCCGGGUAGUC
rnacentral:rRNA from 1 species